rnacentral:rRNA from 1 species
GAAAUCGGGCGGGCCCUUAAUCAUGCAAGUCGAACGGUGUAGCAAUACACAGUGGCGCACGGGUGCGUAACACGUAUGAAAAACCUAUCAUUGGGGGAUAGCCUUUGGAAACGGAGAUUAAUACCGCAUAAGACAGUAACAUGGCAUCAUGUAGCUGUUAAAGCUUCGGCGAUGAUAGAUGGGCAUGCGUCCAAUUAGUUAGUUGGUGAGGUAAUGGCUCACCAAGACGAUGAUUGGUAGGGGAUCUGAGAGGAUAAUCCCCCACACUGGCACUGAGAUACGGGCCAGACUCCUACGGGAGGCAGCAGUAGGGAAUAUUGGGCAAUGGACGGAAGUCUGACCCAGCCAUGCCGCGUGCAGGAUGAAGGCGUUAUGCGUUGUAAACUGCUUUUUUAUAGGAAGAAGGAGACCUUGCGAGGUUUGGUGACGGUACUAUAAGAAUAAGCACCGGCUAACUCCGUGCCAGCAGCCGCGGUAAUACGGAGGGUGCGAGCGUUGUCCGGAUUUAUUGGGUUUAAAGGGUGCGUAGGCGGUUUAUUAAGUCAGUGGUGAAAGACGGUCGCUCAACGAUUGCAGUGCCAUUGAUACUGGUAGACUUGAGUUCGUAUGAGGUAGCUGGAAUGGAUAGUGUAGCGGUGAAAUGCAUAGAUAUUAUCCAGAACUCCAAUUGCGUAGGCAGGUUACUAAUACGAUACUGACGCUGAUGCACGAAAGUGUGGGGGAUCAAACAGGGAUUAGAUACCCUUGGGUAA